rnacentral:sRNA from 1 species
UCGCGUCAAGCGCCGCAGGCAGGAGCGGGGGACCCAAGGUAAGCGCCGGGCCCAGCGGUUGACGCUGGACCGGCUAGGGGUGAAGCCGCACCUCGGACAAGCGAGUGUGCGGCCGGGCAACUCAACCGGCCCGAACCCGACAGCUCACCUCGCAGGCGUCGGUGAGGGGAUCG